CACAUGCUGUAACCGCACUGGCCGGGUACAAGAACAGUUCCGCAAGGACACUGUCACCUGAGACCGGGCGAGUCUGAGACAUGAG
rfam:Paenibacillus sp. MAEPY2 contig52, whole genome shotgun sequence.